GUCUUUAAAAAGUAGGAAACACCAUCAAGCAAUGAGUGGUGUCUACAUUAUUAAUGUCAACUGGUUAUAAACUUAAGUGAUUGAAGUUUCUAGUUUGCUGUCGUCUUUCUAACCUUGGUUGUGACUUCCUCGAAUCUAGGAGCUCCUUUUGAUGUCUGAAUCUUUGCCACAAUGUGGAGACGCAAGUAAUGCUCCAGAGAUCUUGGAGGAGGAGAAGGUGGAAGAGGAGGAGGAAGGGAGGUCAACAAAAGGCUUACUGUGACUUAUUUACCAUUUUAGGUGCUGUAAUGGGUUUCCUGACCAUCAUAGAUCUGGUUUAGGAUAAUUUUAAAUAGGCAUUUGUCCUUGCAAUUAUGAAUAUCUCAGGAUACCUGUGAGGUUAGCUUCUAUUCUGAGCUAUGAGAGUGAGGCAGAGUUCAGCUGUAUUUUAAUGGUACUGUAUGCUAAAAAGAUGCUUAGGAAAUAAUGAAGGCAGAGAGCUUUUAGUCUAAUCACGAAUGGCCCUUAGUUAGAAACCUACCCAACCACAGCAGGUUAACAUUAGGUAGAUGGAACAGAGACAUCAAAGACAGAGCUUGACCUCAUUAGAGAACAAAGGCAAGAGGAAAUGAUGUCAGCAGCAAGCGGUGGGAUGCAGGAUGACAAAGCACAUGGAAAUGAAGCUGGAGGGAAGAAUGAGAAUAGGGCACACGGGAAAGGCCCCUAAGCUCAGAGGCUGAAGACUGUGCCCUGAUUUCAGCUGUCUCCCAGAUGUGUUGAUUUAGGUGGCAUGCUAAGGGUUUUCACCAAAUAGCCAAUAUAGUCAAAAAACGUUGAACCAGGGAAAAUUCAGGGUUUAAUAAUGCUACUGAACGGAAUUUGUUUCUUUCUCUAGGUGCAUGGGCUGAAUCAGUUUUAACCCUCUCAUAUCUUUGAGCUAGGGAAUAUAAUGAGCCUGUAAUAUUUUUAAUGUUUUGGAAGGCUCUCAUGGGGAAGUAAGUUCCUAUUUCCCCCCAAACACAGGAUAAACUGCCAUGCCCGUGUUCUCCUGCGAGUUGUUCCUCUUGUCUGUCUUCCCUCCAAGUCUCAGCUCAGAUGUCACUCCUAGUCUGAAUCCUCUUUGGAUCUGCUCAGGGAAGUUGAAUAUCCCAUUCUUGUUGAAACGAAUGUACCUGUCUGUGUUACAGACCUUUUAUCUUAGCCGUGCAGUCAGUAAUUUAUGAGUUUUUUCUUCUUAUGAGGCUCAGUACAGAAUCCUGUGUUGUUUUCGCUCUGACUUAGGUACGUAAAUAAGCCCAGGGCCUAAGAAAUGCAUCCGAAACAUGAGAGUGAGAAAGCCAAGCUCUUGAGUGCAAAGGAGCCUCACAAAAGUCAGAUCUGCAGGAGAAAUGACCUUAUUUUGUUCACUCAGUUGUCUGCUGAUUGCACUGAUUCCUGGUGGAUGAAAGUUUACUCACCCACGAGCCCUGUCAGUAAUGGAACACCCCUCUUCACCCCGCAGCUGAGAGUUAGACAGUGAGGGAGAGAGACAGAGAGAAAGGUCUUCCUUCUGUUGGUUCACUCCACAAAUGGCUGCUACAGCUGGAGCUACGCCGAUCCGAAGCCAGGAGCCAGGUACUUCUUCCUGGUCUCCCACGCAGGUGCAGGCACCCAACCACUUGGGCCAUCCUCCACUGCCUCCCUAGGCCAUAGCAGAGAGCUGGACUGGAAGAGGAGCAACUGGGACUAGAACCAUGUGCCCAUACGGGAUACUGUCACCGCAGGCAGAGGAUUAACCAAGUGAGCCACGGCGCCAGCCCCAUUGUUCUUGAGAGAUAUCGUGGAGUGGAAAAGUCUACCAUGGGCUAGGAAGAGAUGUUUGAUGCACAGAGAACCAACAGAUUACACAGAAUGCACAAAUAACUUCAAAUAAUGAAAAAAAAAUCAUACUUCCAAAUUAAAAAUGGGUAAAGAAGUGAUUAGACAUUCCACAGAAGAAAAAAUACAAAUGACAAUCAAGAAUAUUAAAAUUUAAAUGUGAAUAGUGUCAUUAUGAUUUUGUAACAUCGUUCAGAUGCGAGUUGAAUAUUAAAAUCUAAUGCUAUCAAAUACUGUGAAGAAUGCGGAACUUUGAGUCCACAUCUACCACUGACAGGAGAGCAAAUGCUUCCCCCGGAUUAUCCCUGAGAAACGUUCAUUCAUGGAUCCUGAUGUUCUUAACAACACUGUUUGCAAUAACACAAAACUGGUUUUAAAAAUGUCACAGAUGGAACCAAGUUGAGAAUUCCAAUCUGAAUUUCUCCUAUUCAAAUACUGAAUAAAGUAUUUGACCUCGAGCUUGUUUCUAUCAGUGUACAUUUUGCAAAAGCAAGUUGCUCUAUUUUUGUUUGGUCGACUCUUCUACUUGAGAGAAGAUCUUUGUGUGUAGACAGAUGGUAAACUUUCUACAAUGUCAAGCUAUUGGUAUCAGUUCCAAUUUACACAUUCUAGAUUUAAUCACUUAUCUACAUUUAAAUUGUCUCCUAAUUAUUCAUGGAUGUUUCUUUUUUGGCUGAAAUAACCUUGCAUUUUAUACACAUAGUUUGAGAUUAUCUUGAAUUCUGGCUACUGAUCUCCAUGAAAUGUGUUCAUGUGUCUUUUUCCAUCUUAAAAUCUGUGCUGAGACUAUAACGGCACUGAGCAGGAUAAGAAUUGAAAUUAUUGAUCACGUAUUUUAUACCAGAUAAUACAAUGAUAGUUUAAAAAAUUCAUGGAAAAUGAAAUUAAAAAUAAUCUUUUUGGCAUGUUUUCAUAUACACAUUUUUCAUCAAUGUUUUGCAGACCCAGUGUAGGCAUGAAUUUCAGAGCUUUUUUGCAGCAAAAUAAACUCAUAUUUUAAUUUAUUUUUCAUUAACAUUUUGAAAUACCCUCAUGCAUUUUCUAUUAAUUUACAAUCAUUAAUGAAGAUUAGGAUUCAAUACCCUAUAGCAGCUAUGUUGCAUCGAUGAGUCUGAAAUUCAUUUUUUAUCUUAGGUAGCAACUCCACUCUGCUAUAGGACCAAGCAUAAAACAGCCAAUGGAGUAUUAGAAUAAUUAUUUCCAUCUGCAAGUGGAGAAUUAAUUUUGUGGUUGAGACUUGGCAUCUCUGGUUUUCAGCUGUAAUUUUCCUUCAACUCUCACCUUCUCUGUAUCUUCAACACUCAAAGGCACUAAGCUAUCCCAACUCAAUUGCCGACUUCUCUGCAUCCUGAUUUGUGCCCUUGUAUCAUGUAGACAUGAGACUCCCACGAACGCAUUUGACUGUGGCUCUAAUAAGUCUUUUUACCUAGUCAUUUUCUCCAUGUGGGCUUCAGCUUUACUGCUGUUACAGACCCUGAUGGGGUCUUCCUUCAGUCCAACAAGAGCCCUCAGAAGCAGGAAAUGUUUGCCUGCCACCAGACACAUCUCAUCAACUCAGGGAGCCUCCUACAUCUUUCACAGCCUGGUGAACGUUGUGAUUUAUCUUACCCAUUCUGCUUCCGCAUCGUAUAACCCUGCUUGCCUAUGGGGGAAUCAUCGUCAGUCUUUAUGGAUAGUUCAGUGCCCCAGAUGAAACACCUUACUCCUGAGUUUUCAUCUUUUCUCUGCUUCUGGUUACUUUGAUUACUUUUCCAUUUUAUAUGAACAUCCAUUGAUAUUUUAGCUCAUUAGAGAACAGCUUGUACAUCUGCUGAGGCUCGUCAGCUGGAUUUUUUUUCCUUAGUAAUAUUUUAUGUUAGCAUAGUUUCACAAUUGUAUUAUGAGAGCUUCCCUUUGUUCUUGGGCCACUUUCCCUGUUAAAGUCUGCCACACAACAUACCUACCUUUGCCCUUUGAGGUUUAGAGAGACCUGAACUUUUCAAUCCGUUUGAUUCAACCAAAAUUGCUGUUGAUAUGAAAAUAAGAAAUAUGUUGUGCCUUGGAAGACUCAAGACCCAGUUAGGUUAGCCAAUGCCUUACAAUAUAAAUCAGUUAUGAACUCUAAUAGAUGAUCUUUGCAACUAUUUGAGGGCACAGAGGAAAGGACAGAACAAUCUACAGGAUUUUGCAAAGGGACAGGGAUUUCUCUGCACAGAAAAGUGAUAAAGCAUUUCUGACAAAUGGCAGCCACACAGGUAAAGGUGGUGUUGUGAGACUGAGCCUGUGUCAGAGGGCAGGAGGCAUUGCUAGAGCUGAGAGGGCUGGACGCUGGGGAAGCAGCUGGAAAGGACAGAGGGAGUGAGAUUAUGAGGAAACUUUUCCAUCUCCUACGCUCGUCUCAUUGGAUAGCAAGAAGAAUCCACAAAAAUACUUCAAUAGAGAAGUGCUAAAUUCUGCAUUCCAAAAAACAUCUAAGAUGUCACAACUAAUUUGGGGAGCUCUAACAUUUCACUAUUAUAGGAUUGAAACCACUCAUUUAGAUAACAACAUAAAUUCAUGACAUGGCUGCAGGUGAUGUUUCCUUACGUCGGGAAUCACACUUCAUAUGUUGUUUAUAAUCACACACCUCUAUGAGGGGGUCUUCAAAACACUCAUGGAAAAUGCAAAUUAUGAGAAAAACUAUUUAUGGAAAUUAGAAUAUUUUUACCCAAAACAAUUUUAUCUCUUAAUUUCCUUUUCUUCGCAGACUUUUUGAAGUCCUUGUAUUUGAGUAUUUUACAUGUCUGUAGUCACAUUUCAAGUUCAGUCCAUAGUUGUAGUUCCAUGAUCAACAGCUAAAACUGUGUUGUAAUACAAAUUGGAGAAUAUGAGAAAGAUCAAGUUGGACAUUUUCUCAACUUUUUAAUGUUUUUAAUAUAUUUAAAUAUAUUUUUUCAACAUGUUUUCCUGUGUCUCAAAUCCUUCAUGAAGACAAAUCUGUAAGUUUUGAAUGCAGAGACUUUCUUAUUCACCACCAUAUCGCCAUUAUAAUUGUAAUAUUUACUGGACAGAUGGAAUAAAUAAAUAGUCUCAUGCAAUCACACAAUAUAACUGGGAGCUGGUGAGAAGUAAAAUAUGGAAUUUUAAAAGUGAUGUAAGGUUCUAACAGGUUUGCAUCAGGCUGAUCUGUUGUAGGUCCCUGAAGCCUGAUCUUGAGAUAGGCAAUGCAGCCAUUUUUGCAUGGACUGUCAGGGACAAGUAUCUCAGGCAGAGAAUUUAUCUAAAUUUAUAAACUGAAGUGCAAAGAUUCAAAACACCUUUACAAAGAAAUGACUUUAGCCAAUUGUAAUUUUUAAUUUCUUUCCUUCUUGACAUUUUUUUGAAAAAAAAUUAAAAACAUUUUAAUUACUUGAGAGACAGAAGGAGAAAGGCAGACAGAUCUUUCAUUUAUUGGUUUACUUCUCAAAUGCCCACAAGGACUGGGGCUGGGCCUGGCCGAAGCCAGGAGCUGGAAACUCAAGCUGGUCUCCCACAUGCGUGGCAGAUACCAAGUACGUGAGCCAUUAGCUCUGCCUCCCAGGAUGUAAACUAGCAGGAAGUUAGAAUCAGGCGUAUAUCCAACACUCAAACUCAGGCGAUAGAAUGUGGGAUGCAGAUGUCCCAAGCAGUGAGUCUUAAGCAUUAGGCCAAAGACCCAUCCCUUGAAUGUUGUUUUAGGUUAGCCAAUGCCUUACAAUAUAAAUCAGUUAUGAACUCUAAUAGAUGAUCUUUGCAACUAUUUGAGGGCACAGAGGAAAGAACAGAACAAUCUACAGGGGUUUUUGCAAAGGGACAGAUCUAUCCUGUAGAUCUGCCUGAUACUGGAUGCAUAAAUAGCAACAGUGAUGGAGGCUAUGUAAGGACAGAAUAAUGUGGCUGUAAAUGAAACCCAGUACAGGAUGGACAGUCAGGGAGUGUUUAUCUGACACUGGAUUUCUCCUUGUUUUAUUCUCAUUCAUCUAGUUUUAUUCAUCUUAAAGCUGUCACUGUUCAAUCUCCGCCUCUUCCCCUAAUAUACUCUAUGUGAAUUUAGCAACCAGUAUUUUCCUUCAGUUAUGCUCAGGUUUGAACGAAGGCAGUUUUUUAUUAUGUAUGUUUUACCCUUUCAUAUUUCAUAUCUGGAUCUUGCAUAGGGCCCUUCACUUAAUUCAUCAUAAUUGUUAACACAUUUUUGUUGUCGUUGAUGACUGGUUCUGUUACAGAGCAAUCCAAAAACGUGUAGGGAAGGGCAAAAUCAAACCUGCACUCAUUUUCCUGUUAGUGGUUACAGCAUUGUGUCAAGGGACGUCUUCGCAUUUCCUUCAUAGACUGAGAAACCAGAGGAUUGUCUCUUUAGAACACUUAGAGAAUUAGAACACUUAGAGAAUGCAUAGACUCAUCUUAUAUGUCAUUUAUUUGAAACAAACAUUGAGAACCAUUAUAAUGACAUGCCCUAUGUCCUACAAUUCAUUGUUACAAAGUCAAGACAAGGAAAACAGUGUCUUACUUUCUAAUACAGUAUUCUUUCUGUGAUAAUUUGUGAAGUUUACUGGCACAUAGGGGCAACCACCUGAACAACACAUAUUCUCUCUGUGUAAUAUGCCAUUGUAGGUUGGUAAUUAAUUGUAUGACAUCAAGCCUUAAAAAUCAUAGCUAUCAUUAUUAGGCACUUUUCAUAUGCAGGGUGCUUUAUGCUCACAUCUGGCCUAGUGUUCAUGGCAAGCUCACAUGAUAGAUACUGUCACCCAUAUUUUGAAGGUAAGAACAAUGAAAAGUUAAUGCCUUUACAUCUGACAAUGCUGUGGCUAAUCAUAAACAGACAGACUAGCCCACAUUUUAUGGAGUGAAACAUCCCGUGGCUCUAACAGUUAAGCUACAUUUCCUGAAUCAGACUUAGCUUUGAAAUAAAUAUAUACGAUCUUUCCAUGACUAUAGUUCCUUCCAACUUCAGUAAUCAAUGGCUUGACUUCCUGCUGUGUCUUAAAGCAAGCACUAACUCCACUCACUCUAAACUUGAAAUACUGAUAACCUGAUUGAGUGUUCUUAUGGGGUGUGCUUAUUUGUUUUCCCCAUGAACUACAGCAAGUUUUUGUCCCAGAGCUUUGCAUGUCGCUUUAGAAGUUGUCUUGGCGCCAAUUACAGCUCUGCUUGUCUAGAGAACAGAGGCACACUGUAAUGACAGUGGCCUGCCAGCUGGGCCCUGAUCAUUUGUCCAUUAACAUUUCUACCUGUUCUUAAUUGAAAGGAAUGCUCCACCUACAGUUUUCCUUUUAUAUUGUGCAGUACCGUGCUGAUCAACAGUGAUCUUUUCUGAAAUACCAGACGUGUAUAACAUGUAAAGUGUUCUACCUCCUUAUUAUUGCAGAUGGGACCGCCAGGUCUCUUUCCAGGGGAGCCAGCUACGCAGCUGAUUCAUCUCCCAUGCCCUGGUGUGUCUGCCUUCCCUCCUUGUUCUUUUUCCAUUGAACAUGUUGUGCUCAUUAGCAUCACCACUGCACACUAAGAAAGGCCAGGAUGCACGGGAUGUGUUCUAUUUUUUUUUUCUUUUUUUUUCCAAGUAGGGGAGUGGGCCAAUGCUAAGUAAAACAAGGAGGAAGUACCUCAUUUCUAUGUGUCGAUAAUACUUCUCCUCUACACCGAUUUUAGAAUUUGCCAUCCGAAUAAUUAGCUUCGUCUUCUGAGGUUAUAUUUUCCAUAAGAAAACAGUAGAUAAUAGGAUUAUUUAGAAUACUGUUAAAAUAUGUAGCUUUUUCCACAAGUUUCCUAGUUUUCAAUUUUUCAAUAGCAUGAAUUCAUUCUGAGAAUUCAGUGAUUAAAAAAGUCAUCAUAUUUUUAUGGGUGAUGAUGCUCUUAAUCCAGUAUUUCUUACACCGUGGUUCCAAAACUGCCGCCAGCUUAGGGAAGAUUCUGAGAAGCCUCCGGAUUUCCAUAUUUUUACAUUAAGUUUUUCUACCUCCUCUUUA